UGCCAGCAGCCGCGGUAAUACGGAGGUCCCAAGCGUUGUUCGGAUUUACUGGGCGUAAAGGGUGCGUAGGUGGCCAGGAAAGUUUGAUGUGAAAGCUCCGAGCUCAACUCGGAAAAUGCAUUGAAUACUACUUGGCUUGAGGAUCGGAGGGGAGACUGGAAUUCUCGGUGUAGCAGUGAAAUGCGUAGAUAUCGAGAGGAACACCAGUGGCGAAGGCGGCUUUCUGGACCGAUACUGACGCUGAGACGCGAAAGCGUGGGGAGCAAACAGGAUUAGAUA
rnacentral:rRNA from 1 species